rnacentral:rRNA from 1 species
CAGCCGCCGCGGUAAUACAGAGGACGCAAGCGUUAUCCGGAAUGAUUGGGCGUAAAGCGUCUGUAGGUGGCUUUUCAAGUCCGCCGUCAAAUCCCAGGGCUCAACCCUGGACAGGCGGUGGAAACUACCAAGCUGGAGUACGGUAGAGGGGGAUGGAAUUCCGCGUGUAGCAGUGAAAUGCGUAGAUAUGCGGAGGAACACCGAUGGCGAAGGCAAUCCCCUGGACCUGUACUGACGCUCAUGCACGAAAGCGUGGGGAGCAAACAGGAUUAGAUACCCCAGUAGUCCCUGUCUCUUAUAC